rnacentral:rRNA from 1 species
GAUAGGCUAAUUAAGGGCGUAUGGGGAAUGCCUAGGCUCUCAGAGGCGAAGAAGGACGUGAUAAGCUGCGAAAAGCUACGGUUAGUGGCACAUACACUGUGAUCCGUAGAUAUCCCAAUGGGGCAACCCGGCAUAUUGAAGAUAUGUCAUCCGACCUAGUCGGAAGCAAACCCGGAGAACUGAAACAUCUAAGUACCCGGAGGAGAAGAAAACAAAAGUGAUUCCGUUAGUAGUGGCGAGCGAAAGCGGAAGAGCCCAAACCAUAUUUGUUACGGCAAAUAGGGGGUUAUAGGACCACGACAUUUAAUGCUUGC